rnacentral:rRNA from 1 species
GUUAAGCGACUAAGCGUACACGGUGGAUGCCCUGGCAGUCAGAGGCGAUGAAGGGCGUGCUAAUCUGCGAUAAGCGCCGGUAAGGUGAUAUGAACCGUUAUAACCGGCGAUACCCGAAUGGGGAAACCCAGUGUGAUUCGUCACACUAUCAUUAACUGAAUCCAUAGGUUAAUGAGGCGAACCGGGGGAACUGAAACAUCUAAGUACCCCGAGGAAAAGAAAUCAACCGAGAUUCCCCCAGUAGCGGCGAGCGAACGGGGAGGAGCCCAGAGCCUGAAUCAGCAUGUGUGUUAGUGGAAGCGUCUGGAAAGGCGCGCGAUACAGGGUGACAGCCCCGUACACAAAAGCGCAUGUGCUGUGAGCUCGAUGAGUAGGGCGGGACACGUGGUAUCCUGUCUGAAUAUGGGGGGACCAUCCUCCAAGGCUAAAUACUCCUGACUGACCGAUAGUGAACCAGUACCGUGAGGGAAAGGCGAAAAGAACCCCGGCGAGGGGAGUGAAAAAGAACCUGAAACCGUGUACGUACAAGCAGUGGGAGCACCCUUUUGGGUGUGACUGCGUACCUUUUGUAUAAUGGGUCAGCGACUUAUAUUCUGUAGCAAGGUUAACCGAAUAGGGGAGCCGGAGGGAAACCGAGUCUUAAUUGGGCGUUAAGUUGCAGGGUAUAGACCCGAAACCCGGUGAUCUAGCCAUGGGCAGGUUGAAGGUUGGGUAACA